AUGAGAAAAUAUAUUGGAUUCCUUCCCCAAUGCCAUAUUUUGCAUGGAAGUCACCAUUUCGCCUGUGAAAUAUGACUGAAAGUGAUUGCAAAGCUUUCAGUGCUGGUCAUGUGAUCACAUCAUAUCUUCCCUCUUCCCACUCCUCGAGGGACUUCAGUGACUGACAUGGAGAUUUAUGACUGGCCUGAUGGAGGAAGAUCAAGUUAGGGUCAGAACAAGCGUGAAACUGGAUUAUGAAUUAUGUUCUCCGAUUCCAAAAGUUGAGUGUACUUCAUCAGUCAUCACUAAUGAAGGGACACCCAGACAUCUAAGAACAAAGACAGUCACCUACAUUGUGCUACUAGCCUCUACCUUUUACCACCCGUUAUAAAUCACAAUAAAGCAGCUAUUU